CUGGAAAAUAAGUGGUUGUUUCUGUCUUGGACUUUUUGAUCUUUGACUAGUAUUUGUGUUGUACCGGUCAAAAGUCAAUGGUGAUGGUUUUUUGCGUCUUUAUGCACAUACCAUAGAUGGAAAAUUCCCAAGUUGUCAUUAAGGAAUAAGUUGGAUGAAGAAUAUUUUGCAUAAUAGCAGUAGUACUAUAGAAGUUUUAUCUUGAAAUUUGUGCAUCUAUAAUCUUGACAACAAGUUACGAAAAUUUGCUAAUGUAGAAUUGCGAAAAUAGUGGGUAGUGUUUGUUCCAGAAUUUGGUUGUUUUUUUCGUUGCUGAGGUGGAGGAAAAAUUCUCUGACACUGUCAGAGACUCUGCUGCCGUCCAAAUUCUAAUUCAGGUUAGUGUUUAACCGGGAAAGGUAAGUUGAUCGUUGUCGUAUGUGCGUUUUUGGUGGGCGGGAGGCUUCGAUUUUUCACUUCAAUUAUUGAUGAGUUCAAUUAUUUUCUCCACGAGAUUUUUCGUGAGGUUUUUGAAUUUCAAACCUGGCCAUUGUUUGGGUAUAAAUAUUGGAUUUGUGUAGACUACAUUGUAUCAAAAUCUCAAUCUCACCUCAAAUAUACUCUGGUUUUGUGGAGAGAAUGGUUGAAAUGGCCAAAGUUUGUAAGAAGUUUGACAGUGUCGCUGGUGGGUGUUCGAGUCAAGGUGGGUGUUCUUCGUCUCUGGAAGGUCUCUUCGUUCCACAAUCCUUCUGAAACCAAUUCCAUUGAGAUGGUUUUGGUUGAUGAAAAGGGUGGAAAGAUUCAUGCUUCUAUUAGGAAGCAGUUAUUUACAUGUUUGAGUCUAAAAUUGAAGAAGGACAAGUGUAUCAGGUGUCAUUCUUUUUUGUUGUUCCUGUGCUCAUUUCGUUGGAAAAUCAAAGGCUGCCACUGAUGAUGGGUCAUACCCUGCUGAGUUUGAGGCACUGGUUGGUAAAAAGAUGUUAUUUAUAUGAAUAAUGAUAUUUAUAUGAAUGAAAAGGGAAAGUAACGAUUUCUCUUAUCAAGUCAAAAGUAGCGGUGUCGUUUCUGCGUACAAACCCUCGAGUGUACAUCUCAGUGAAGCACGGCCAACUUCGUUCAUCGGCUUCUUCAAAGAACAGUAGUUUAACAAAGCCCUAAUUCCAAAAUCAGAAACUGUCCAAUUCCAAUUCAUCAAUUGGCUUCAUCUUCAAGGAGGAUAAAAUCGAAAUUUGUCCGAAAUUUAGAGUUGAUUGGAGCGGUGAGUUAGAGAAUCACCCUAUGGAUACUUGCUACAUCCAAGUGGAAAUAUGGCUAUGCUUCAAUUACACUUGGAUGGAAGUAACUGUUACAUGACAUCCGGAAAGGUGGCAUCAGUUUUAUAUGGUUUUAAAGAACCAAUUCAAGUCAUGGUUAACUAUGAUUUCAGUGACAAUGACAACUGUUUUAAAUUUAAAAAUAUCAAAGAAAAAGUUGUUGUUGAUCUCUCAAGUGAUAAUGAAGAUGAAGACAUGAUUGAUCUUUCAUCUGAGCAAGUAGAGGAUGAAUCAGUUAAUGCUGCUGUGGGUGAUGUAUCUCACGAUGAUACAUAUAUCCUACAUCAAUUUGAAAGUGAUUGUGUGUUUGGUUGGGAAAUGAUAGUAAGCGAAGCUUAUGCAAGUGAUUCAAAACAAUAAGUUUUGCACGUUCCGCCACGUAUGGCUGCGGGUGUACUCAGAGGCCGGGAGAGUAUUGUCAUUAGAACUCAACACAAAUUGGAUGGAACCAAAUGUUCUAUCCAGACUUACCAUAGGAAGGGGAAGGCAGGAAAGAUUGAGAUGUAUUUGACCGAAGGUUGUAUGAACUAAUUCUGUUUUUUUUUAAAUAAAAAAAGAGCAACCGUGUCAAAACACACUAGUUUAACACAUUAAAAGCAUAAACAAUUACUAUCUUUCUAGCAUUAACUUUAUCUUUAAUUACCUUUUUUAGUAUGCUUAACAAAUGUCCGGGGCACUGUUUAGCAUGACCCUUUUAAAAUUAGGAGUUUUUUUUUUAAAAAAACGAAAAAAUUGGGAGAAUUAAAAGUGAUCUUAUGGUUUCGAUAAAGCCAACUUCUGAACUGAUUUCCGUACGCUAAAAAUUGGGAGAAUUAGAUUUGACUUUUGCCUUUUAGAAUUGACUUUUGUUGCGCGUCCCUCAUGUCCUUCAGAUGCAUAUUUCUACUAUCAAAAGUAGGUUUCUAAUCUACUGUCCUCUACACUUGAACAUAUGUUAGAGUACCCAACUGUUUUCUUAUACAUUGUUAUCAUUAAAACCUCAAAGGUAUUGUCAUAAAAUCCAUUUUGGUUUAACAAGGUUAAGCUCUUAAUAUGCAAAAAUCUGAAUUCUUCUGUAGUAGAAAUGUCAUAUAUGAGGUGUGUGAUUCUAUUGCAAAUACCUAAGGUGUGCGACAAGAAUUUCGCACAAGUAAGUACCUAGGCUUACCUUCAAUGAUAAGUAGAAGUAGGAAACCCCUUUAAGUUCAUUAAGGAUAGGAAAAAAAGUAAAUUCUUGGAGUAGUAGGCUCCUUUCUCAAGCUGAUAGAGAGGUUAUGAUUAGAUCGGUACUUCAAUCUAUUUUGUCCUAUGUGACGAGUAUUUUCUUGAUACCUAGCUUGCUUAAUUUUUCAGACUUGUUUACAUUAGAUAUUCCUAAUUUUUAUGACUCAUAGUAAUUUUAGUUCUAAAGGAUUACAUUGGCUUUCUUGGGAGAGACUCUGCAUAAAAAUCAAGGUGGAAUAGGCUUCAAAAGCCUCCAGGCAUUUAACUUUGCCAUGCUAGGAAAGCAAACUUGGAAUUUAUUACAAAAUUCGGGCAGUUUAAUCACUACGUUACUCAAAGCUAAAUAUUUUCCUAAGUUUUUUUUUAUGCUAGAGCAAGUUAUGUCUGGCGGAGUAUUUGGAGUGCAAAGUUCGUUGUCAAAGAAAGAUGCAAAUGGAACAUUGGCUCCAGAGAAUGUAUUGAUGAAUGAGACAGUUGCUAACUUAGGGGAAGUGUUUCCAUUCUUAAACCUCAUAACUUACAACCUAUGCAUGCUAAUUUAAAGGUCAAGGAUCUCAUGUUGCAAAUGAUAAAUGUUGGAACUAAGACAUAAUUCACGAACUGUUUGAUAGCAGAAGUGCAAGACACAUCAUGCAAACUCCUCUUUUUAAUUCUGUCCAAGAUGAUGCUAUUUAAUAGAAAUUAGAGUGCGGUGUUAUUUUUUCAGUACGCAUGGUGUACAGGUUGUGUGUGGAUGUUGCAGGUACAACAAACCGACACAGCGUUGAAAGAAAUUGGAGCAUUCUCUGGCGUGCGAAAAUCCCUCCUAAAGUUAAAAAGCUUAUAUGGCGUAUUGGUCAGAACUGCUUGCCAUUGCGAUUAAGGCUAGCUAAUCGCAGUGUGCAAAGUGUCUGAUUAAUUGUGCUAGUUGUGACGAAGGUAAUGAAGAUAGCAUCCAUUUGUUCUUUUUGCGUACGCAGAGCAAGCAAUAUUGGCAACACAUUGUCUGUGGGAGUUAGUUUUGUAAUAAAUCAAUAUCAAAGAACUUAUUUUCUAUAUAGUACAAUGUUUUGCCUUUAUUAUAGGUAUUAUGUUAUAUAUAAAUAAGGAUAUACUUACUUCAAAUUUUAGCCUUAAUUGAUGGUUGUGAUUAAUUAAUUAUAAUUAU